AUGGCGGAAGCUUUAGCCCUCAAGUUUGGUCUAACACUAGCGCAAAGGGCGGGAUGUAAUCGUCUUAUUAUUAACUCAGACAACAUGAAGGUGAUUGAUACUAUGCAGGAUGGAGGACAGUCAGCAAGCACGACAACAACAAUCUUCGACGAUUGUUUUCAUUAUGCAUGUGAUUUCAUUACUACUAGAUUUGAACAUUGUAAUAGAGAAGCAAAUAAAGUAGCUCAUGAGCUCGCUAGAUUAGCUAGAUUUUCUUUGACUUCUGUUUGGUUUGAGGAACCAUUAAAUGAAAUUGUAAUGCUCCUCGCAAACGAUGUACUAUUUAUCUCUAAUGAAUAA
rnacentral:rRNA from 1 species